CAGUAGCCGCGGUAAUACGUAGGGUGCAAGCGUUAAUCGGAAUUACUGGGCGUAAAGCGUGCGCAGGCGGUUUUGUAAGACAGAGGUGAAAUCCCCGGGCUCAACCUGGGAACUGCCUUUGUGACUGCAAGGCUAGAGUACGGCAGAGGGGGAUGGAAUUCCGCGUGUAGCAGUGAAAUGCGUAGAUAUGCGGAGGAACACCGAUGGCGAAGUCAAUCCCCUGGGCCUGUACUGACGCUCAUGCACGAAAGCGUGGGGAGCAAACAGGAUUAGAUACCCCUGUAGUCCCUGUCUCUUAUAC
rnacentral:rRNA from 1 species